rnacentral:rRNA from 1 species
GACAGGGGAUGCAAGCGUUAUCCGGAAUGAUUGGGCGUAAAGCGCCUGUAGGCGGCUUAAAAAGUCUCCUGUCAAAGAUCAGGGCUUAACCCUGGGCCGGCAGGAGAAACUCUUAGGCUAGAGUUUGGUAGGGGCAGAGGGAAUUCCCGGUGGAGCGGUGAAAUGCGUAGAGAUCGGGAGGAACACCAAAGGCGAAAGCACUCUGCUGGGCCACAACUGACACUGAGGGACGAAAGCGAGGGGAGCAAAAGGG